ensembl:snoRNA
GCAUGGCUGAAUCCUGUGUUUUUAUCCAUAAUCUACACAGCCAGACACCAUGCCACCCAGCACCGUUUCCUUUAAUGUACUCGCGGUGUGCUGUGUCUUCUUCAUGGCGUAUCAUCUGUACAGGUGAACAUAAAG